GGGCCGGUAGUUUAGUGGUAGAACACUCGUUGUUGGUUAGGUUCCAGGGUACAUGGCCAAACAGGGGUUUGAGAAAGGUCUUCAGGUCAGGCCGAAGGAGCGGUCGAAAUUUGGCCAGGAUUUCAGGAGUGACAGGCCGGACGAAAGUCCCUAGGACACAAAAAUCCCUGGAACCACACAGGAACGAGAGACCUGGGUUCGAAUCCCAGCCAGCCCA